GCGCCCGUAGCUCAGGUGGAUAGAGCAACAGCCUUCUAAGCUGUGGGUCGGAGGUUCGAGUCCUCCCGGGCGUGCCA
rnacentral:tRNA from 1 species